GGUGGCAGUCCCAGAUGGAAAGCUGAGAGGACAGAGUCCUGUGCUUUCUCUCCAUGAGACCCAGCUCCUCCACAUCUGGCUGCUGCCCCCGACGGACUUUCCAGGACACCAUCUCCCACUGUUUGAUCUUUUGAGCUGAGUAAGCCCCAGGAUAGGAGGUGAGAAAACUGAGACCCAGAAAGCUUCAGCAACUCACCCAAGGUCAUGUGGUUGUGAAACUUCCAGACCUACUGGAGUGCCUCCUCCCGCAAGAAGUCUGCUCUGGGCCUGCUGCAUUGUCACUGGAUAAGAUUUCUUCCUCUAUUUCCUCAUCCUGACUUCCAGAACAGUUCCCUGGACUUUCCUUGUCUACAGCACUUACCACCGUGUAUCCAAAUGUUUACAGUCUCUUGUGGCCCUGUGCCUCCAUGUAAGAGCUCCAUCCGUCACGAUGCUAUCAUCAAGGCAGGCAGAAGGUUCUGGAGGAGAAGAUGCUAUGUGAAGAAAGAGCCAAGACGCACCAAAAUGCCAAACGGUGAAGACACCAUCUUGGAAGGGACCCUCCAGUCCCAGCGUUGCUCCUGGUUGACACCAAGUGGCCCAACUGAGCCCUUCUCAAAUUCCCGGCCCACAACAUGGUGAGCAAAAUAAAAUGGUUGU